UACGUAGGGUGCAAGCGUUAAUCGGAAUUACUGGGCGUAAAGCGUGCGCAGGCGGUGAUGUAAGACAGAUGUGAAAUCCCCGGGCUCAACCUGGGAACUGCAUUUGUGACUGCAUCGCUGGAGUGCGGCAGAGGGGGAUGGAAUUCCGCGUGUAGCAGUGAAAUGCGUAGAUAUGCGGAGGAACACCGAUGGCGAAGGCAAUCCCCUGGGCCUGCACUGGACGCUCAUGCACGAAAGCGUGGGGAGCAAAC
rnacentral:rRNA from 1 species